rnacentral:ribozyme from 1 species
AAAAGAAAAAGAAAAGAAAAGAAAAAGAAAAGUGAAGAGAAGAUAAGAUAAGAACCCCUGUGUGUUACCUCU